rnacentral:misc_RNA from 1 species
CUCAUUUGACAUACUGAUCCCUACCCAAUUCACAAUAGACAUUCUAACUAUCAGAUAAUUGCCCAAUCGACUACAAACUACGAGUUGAAGCCUAAAUAAGUAAAAUAAGAAGUAAAGUUUUUGGCACUGCGCACCAAAAUCCCAUCUUUAGCGCUUUUUUUUUUUUUUUGAAAUGAAAUCCCAUCUUUAGCUGCUCUAGUACAUUAGUAAUCCCCAUAUUCCAAGCUUGGAAAAACCCCAUCCCUAAUCAUACAUAAUUCUGUAAAUCCCAUUUCAAUCCNNNNNNNNNNAAUUACGAAAGAGAGAGAAAAACGAACGAACAAAGUACCCAAAUUUAGCUUAACAAUAACCAAGCCGCAAGGAGAGUAUAAGCUUACAUUGCUGCCUUUCCAGACUUGGUAAGUCC